AACGGAAAUGAUUGAAGUUUACUUUGGUCAUUUUAGUGGCGGACGGGUGAGUAACACGUGAGCAACCUGCCUUUCAGAGGGGGAUAACGUUUGGAAACGAACGCUAAUACCGCAUAACGUAUACGGAUGGCAUCGUCUGUAUACCAAAGGAGGAAUCCGCUGAAAGAUGGGCUCGCGUCCGAUUAGCUGGAUGGUGAGGUAACGGCCCACCAUGGCGACGAUCGGUAGCCGGACUGAGAGGUUGACCGGCCACAUUGGGACUGAGACACGGCCCAGACUCC
rnacentral:rRNA from 1 species